UAUGUAUAAAUAAAAUAAGAACCUGGUACAU
rnacentral:piRNA from 1 species